GUGAAUCAUCAAAUUUUUGAACGCAUAUUGCACUCUCUGGGAUUCCGGAGCGUAUGUCUGUUUGAGGGUAAUUAAAAAGAAUCUUGUACCAAUUUUUCUUGGUCAUAGGAAAUGAGCUCUCCGCGUUUAUAGCGGUAGCUUGAAAUAAAUGGUCAAGUCUCAUUUUAGUCGAGACGCGUAAUCAUAUUAUUUCGUGAAAUCUCCAUUAUGUUACUAUCA
rnacentral:misc_RNA from 1 species